UGACCUGGGAGGUCUGCUCUGGAAGAACCGAGCUUGCGGAAAACCCUGUGGGAAGACCACAGAGUCUGUGCGAAGAAGGUCCUGCACGCCUGGUUGUCCGACAACCGAAGAGGAGGAGGGUUUGUUUUCCCUCCCUCCGAAGGAGAGUCCACCUGCUGAGGCAUCUCAGAGGGGGUUUCCACUGAGAGACUAAACAUCCUAACUUCCAUUCCCUGUAGCUGAGACUGGACGCAAAAGGGAACGCAUCUGCUUUUCGUGUCAACGCAGCUCGUAGAGAGGCCAUCUCACCUCCAAGGUGCCUUCACCCCCCAAGGGCCCGGCUUCCAGCCCCAGCCACACACUGGGCCCAUGCGCCCCAGAGGAGGUGCUCCGACGGCAAAAAUCCCAUACA